GACGAACGCUGGCGGCGUGCUUAACACAUGCAAGUCGAACGGAAAGGCCCCUUUGGGGGUACUCGAGUGGCGAACGGGUGAGUAACACGUGAGUAACCUGCCCUUGACUUCGGGAUAACUUCAGGAAACUGGGGCUAAUACCGGAUAGGAAUCCUUGCUGCAUGGUGGGGGUUGGAAAGCUUCGGCGGUUUUGGAUGGACUCGCGGCUUAUAAGCUUGUUGGUGGGGUAGUGGCUUACCGAGGCGUUGACGGGUAGCCGGCCUGGGAGGGCGACCGGCCACAGUGGGACUGAGAUACGGCCCAGACUCCUACGGGAGGCAGCAGUGGGGAAUAUUGCACAAUGGGCGGAAGCCUGAUGCAGCAACGCCGCGUGCGGGAUGACGGCCUUCGGGUUGUAAACCGCUUUCAGCAGGGGCGAAGCUUGUGGUGACGGUACCUGCAGAAGAAGCACCGGCUAACUACGUG
rnacentral:rRNA from 1 species